GGCUUCGUGCUCGAAAGAGAGCCGUAACACAGGUGCUGCAUGGCUGUCGUCAGCUCGUGUCGUGAGAUGUUGGGUUAGGUCCCGCAACGAGCGCAACCCUUGCCAUUAGUUGCUACGAAAGGGCACUCUAAUGGGACUGCCGGUGACAAACCGGAGGAAGGUGGGGAUGACGUCAAGUCCUCAUGGCCCUUAUAGGUGGGGCUACACACGUCAUACAAUGGCCGGUACAAAGGGCAGCCAACCCGCGAGGGGGAGCCAAUCCCAUAAAGCCGGUCGUAGUCCGGAUCGCAGUCUGCAACUCGACUGCAUGAAGUCGGAAUCGCUAGUAAUCGCGGAUCAGCAUGUCGCGGUGAAUACGUUCCCGGGUCUUGUACACACCGCCCGUCACACCAUGGGAGUGGGUUCCACCAGAAGCCGGUCGCCUAACCGCAAGGAGGGCGCCGACCACGGUGAGAUUCAUGACUGGGGUGAAGUCGUAACAAGGUAGCCGUAUCGGAAGG
rnacentral:rRNA from 1 species